rnacentral:rRNA from 1 species
AGGCCUUAUACAUUGCAAGUCGAGCGCAUCCUUCGAGGAUGAGCGGCGGACGGGUGAGUAACUGAGAAUGUGCCCUUCUCUACGGAAUAGCCACUGGAAACGGUGAGUAAUACCGUAUACAGCCCUCAGUGGGAAAGAUUUAUCAGGAGAAGUGAUCAGCCCGCGUUAGAUUAGGUAGUUGGUGGGGUAACGGCCUACCAAGCCUACGAUCUAUAGCUGGUUUUAGAGGAUGAUCAGCCACACUGGAGACUGAGACACGGCCCAGCACUCCUUCGGGAGCGCAGCAGUAUGGAAUCUUGGACAAUGGGGGCAACCCUGAUCCAGCCAUGCCGCGUGAGUGAAGAAGUGCCCUAGGGUCAGUAAAGCUCUUUCGCCUGUGAUGAUAUGACAGUAGCCAAUGUAAAGAAACCCCGGACUAACUCCGUGCCAAGACAGACGCGGAUACAUACGGACGGGGGUUAGACGUUGUUCGGAAUUACUGGGCGUAAAGCGCGCGUAGAGCGAGAUUGGACAGUAUGGGGCGUUGAAAUCCCGGGAGGCUUCAACCCCCGAGAACCUGACAUUCAAAAAUCCCAGUACUAGAGUUCCCAGACAGGUGAGUGGACAUUCACAAAUUGUAAGGUGAAAU